UCAUCGUUACGACAUCAUUAUUUGUCAAAUAUGAGUUUUAGGGUGUAUCUGAGAUCAGUUCAUAUUGUUUAGAAAAUGUUAAGUACGUUCCUAUCUUAGACAAGGAAAGAGAAAGGACAAAUAACACGUCUUUCUGCUAAUGGCAUGCGCUUGUGAUCGAAAUUCGAGUGGACGCCAUUUUAAGGUGGCAAACAUUUGUGGUGGCAUUAGAGUUUUUUUAUGGCUUUGUGCUUUAAUUUUGACUGAUAGACUAGAAUAUUUUUAGUGUUUCACGAUGGUUAAUUGUUGUGCUUAUGGUUGUCAAUCUCGGAAUACGAAAAAAGAACCGGGAAUUACGUUUCAUAGAUUUCCCAAGGAUGUAAAAAGACGUGCUGUUUGUAUUAAAAACAUGUAUUUUGCCAGAUUGGGCCCACUAAACAUGAUAAAAUUUGCUCAAAGCAUUUUAAAGAAUGUUUGUUCUAUCAUAUUGGGGAUAGGACUCGUCUAUUGGAUGAAGUAAUCCCUACCAUAUUUGAGGCUUUACCAAAAUAUUUGCAGAAAAAACCUCAAAUAAAAAGGGCAACAAAACGUCCUCGAGAAGAAAUUGGUGAACCGUCAACCAGUAUGAGAACCGAAGGGAGUGACAUCGACCCAGAUUUAGAGGAUACUCCAAGGAAGAAAAAACUGAGAAGACAAUUGUUUAAACAACAGAACAAAAGGAAAAGACAAACAAAUAGGGUGAGAGUGUUAGGACAAAAAGCGAAACGCAACAGGAAUAAAGUGAUAUCGUUAAAAGAAGGUAUCAAAAAAUCAACAGACAAUAAUCUUUUAUCUUUAGAACAAUCUAAUGUUAUUGCUAAUUUACCAGGUUAAAUUUUACUGAUGUUUGUAAGUUUAAUUUAAACAUAAUAAUAGAUUUAGUAUCAUUAGUGUUGUUUUAUUGUUAUUAUUAUUGUUGUUGUUGUCACUAGCUAUAUAUCAUUAGCAUAUUAGCACACUACUAAAUAAGUAAGUUUUAUUUUCUAACAGAAUUGGUUGUUUCAAAAUAUGUACUUCAACAAAAUCUAUGUUUUCGUAACGAAGAUGAGCGAGGCCUGAAAUAACAUACUCAGCUAUAUCCUGUUCAAAACCCUCUAACGAAAUCUAUUUUUUUAUCUGUAAGGAACA